GGGUCAGUAGGUUGGUCGUGCCACCGGUACGUACUGGUCUCACUGAUUCCUCCUUCCUGAAGAACCGUAAUGCCAUUAAUUUGGUGUUGCGGGGAAACAGGACUGUCACUUUGAAAAAAUUAGAGUGUUUAAAGCAAGCUAACGCUUGAAUACAUUAGCAUGGGAUAAUGAAAUAGGACGAUCGAUCCUAUUUUGUUGGUUUCUAGGAUUGACGUA
rnacentral:rRNA from 1 species